UGCAUUCACUACUGUAAGUCGCUCUUGAUAAGAGUGUCUGCUAAAUGACUAAAA
rfam:Salmo salar isolate Sally breed double haploid chromosome ssa23, whole genome shotgun sequence.